UACGUAGGGGGCUAGCGUUGUCCGGAAUCAUUGGGCGUAAAGAGCGUGUAGGCGGCCCGGUAAGUCAGCUGUGAAAGUCAAGGGCUCAACCCUUGAAAGCCGGUUGAUACUGUCGGGCUAGAGUCCGGAAGAGGCGAGUGGAAUUCCCGGUGUAGCGGUGAAAUGCGCAGAUAUCGGGAAGGAACACCAAUGGCGAAGGCGACUACCUGGCCUGUUCUUGACGCUGAGGCGCGAAAGCUAGGGGAGCAAACGGG
rnacentral:rRNA from 1 species